AGCUCCAUUAGCGUAUAUUAAAGUUGUUGCAGUUAAAAAGCUCGUAGUUGGAUUUCGGUGUGGGCCCGUCGGUCGGCCGCGAGGCCUGUUACUGACUGGUUCGCUCUUCCUCCCAAAGACUGCACGUGCCCUUCGCUGGGUGUGUGUACCGGAUUUGGGACGUUUACUUUGAAAAAAUUAGAGUGUUCAAGGCAAGCUUUGAGGCUUGAAUACAUGAGCAUGGAAUAAUGGAAUAGGACCUCGGUCCCUAUUUCGUUGGUUUCACGGACCGAAGUAAUGAUUAAGAGGGACAAUUGGGGGCAUCCGUAUUUCGUAGUCAGAGGUGAAAUUCUUGGACCUACGAAAGACGAACAACUGCGAAAGCAUUUGCCAAGAGUGUUUUCAUUAAUCAAGAACGAAA
rnacentral:rRNA from 1 species